rnacentral:lncRNA from 1 species
UGAGGGGAGGAGCCUGACUCCCACCUAGACCUGACAGAAAAUCAGAGAGCCCUGCCCUCUUCCCUGUGCAGAGGAAGGCCAGUGACCGCCUCCAGGAUCACUCUGACACUGCAGUGAGCCACUGUCCACCCGGGGAAGCUUCAUUCCUCGCCCCCCACUCACCCUCCCCGUACCCUCUGACCCAACCAGCUGUGUUGUGUUUGGCUUGCUUUGGUUGUUUUUAAAAACCAAUCUCAAUUCUACCCACAUUCCCCAAAACAAGGGUCAUGACAGUUAGGAGAAGUUAGAAUCUAAAGCAGCCUCUGCAUGCCCUAAGCUGCCCAGCUUCUCCAGGAACGCUUUGACCUGCCUGCACCACGCCGCCCCUCCUGCCUGUCCCGCACGCACGCACGCACGCACGCACGCACGCACGCACGCCUGGGGAGUUGCUGCUUGCUUAGGACCCUGAAGAUUGCUGUGGCUGAGUCAGCAGCCUUCUGCGGAUUCUCUUCUGUGAGAAGGGUGGUUUGCCAGGGACCAGGCUUGUGUCCUGUCCUGCUCCCCAUACUGAGAAAUCAGGAUUUUCUAUCAAGCUAAAGAAAUCAGUGCUUUGGGGGACAGGUACAAAUUGACCCCAGCCGUGUGGAAUCUAGUGAACAACUUUCUGGAAGAUUGUAUCUUCUCUCAAAAAUUAUAAUCAUCUCGGUAGUUGUCGUCCCAUCUGGGUGACAUGUGCACUUUAAAUGACCUCUCAUGAGCUGGCUUCAUCUUGGAGACAAUCAAAUCUGUUAACUGUUUUCUUAGAAGAUGGAGAGGGUUAAAAUAAAGACAUGCCAGCAUGCCCCCACCUCCCCACUCUCACGGAAGUCACCUGCAGGGAAGAAGCCCUCACCACGAUUGAUUUUUUUUUUUUUUUUCUGUUUCAAAAGGUACGAACUGAGUCUUCUGAGGGUCACGCUAGCGCCGCCCAUUGCUAGCCCCGCCCACUGCCACACUGGUUCUUCCCAGCCUCCCUCAUAGCAACAGCAAGCACAGAUGUGAUGAACCAUUCAGGGUAACAUCAGUACACACAGGCUUAGUAAAGGACACAACCUGGGCCCGUAGGCCAGAGCUUGCCUACAGUCCUCUCCAUGCAAGUUUGUAAUGUCUCCUCCUAUCCCCGAGGCUCUUGUCACCUCACCCACUGUUCUUGCCAAGGCUCUUAAGUUGCCUUUGAUACGUACCCAGAAGACAGUCACGGAGUGUGGGCGUCCUUGUCUGGAUACCUGUGUAUGGGUGCCUGUAAGAGAAGCAGCGACACACACACACACACACACACACACCCCUGCAGAGACCAGCUCCUUGUUUUCUUUCUUGUAGCAUAACAUUCCUAGUUAAGUUUGCUGCCUGCUGGCCAGGUGGAGAAAUGCAAAGUAUUCUAAUGCUGCCAUAAGCGGGGAGGGGUGGCAGAAGCCUUUUCCUGCACUCACAAGACUUACUUUGUCAAAUGAUCAACAGGUCCUGAGUUACUUCUCCAUCUCAACUAAGGUGUAAAGUGGGUUUGCCCCACUACUGCAAGUGUGCCCUGCGGAGAAACCAGGCAGGCGCUACUGCCUCAGACCCCAGAGGGCCUCUGCAGCAAGCACAGAACCUAUGCCUUAGAACCCUGCUAGCCUCAGCUGCCCUGCCUUGGUUGACACCUGCUGGGAUUGGCUUGUCUCAGGUUUCUUCCUGAGGCCUGGGCUCUACAGAAGGUGGGCAGGAUACACCUAUCUAUACCUCUGUUCUUGUUAAGUCGUCUCCAAAUGCUGUAUGAACAUUUCUGUACUAAGCCCUAUUAAAUAAAAAGUCGGGUUAAACCCAAGUGCUGUAUAGUAAUUUGUAAUUAUGUAUAAAAUUAAGCAGUUUUGAACUGUAAAGAUUUUUCAGUGUGUUUUCUGGAAAUUUGCCACAACAUACUGGCUUUGUAUUUUAUUUAUCAUCCAUUGUAGUUACUGGCUUCAAACUCUUGUAAAGUCCCCCUCAGACCUUUCAAAAAUAAUAAAUGUCUUUGAGAUCU